AGCAGAGGGGGCGCCCGGCCGGGAGGCGGGGGCUCGGGCCGGCGGUCGCGAGCCGAGGACUUCGGUCUGAGCCAGCCCGGCCCAGCGCCGCCUGACACACGAGGAAACUGAAACCCGGAGAGGGGAAGUGACCCCCAGCAGUCCAGCCCAUCAUCUCUGCCGCCCCGGGAAGAAUCUCCAGGGACUGCCUUUGUGAUGGUGGCAUCUUCAGAAGGACGACGAAAGGGAAAUAACAUUUCUCAAAAGACCACUGUUCGCUCCCAGGACCCUGGACAGCGGCGGGUGCUCGACCGGGCUGCCAGACAGCGCCGCAUCAACAGGCAGCUCGAGGCCUUGGAGAAUGACAACUUCCAGGACGACCCCCAUGCAGGACUCCCCCAGCUCGGCAAAAGGCUGCCUCAGUUUGAUGAUGAUGCAGACACCGGAAAGAAAAAGAAGAAAACUCGAGGCGAUCAUUUUAAACUUCGCUUCCGAAAGAACUUUCAGGCCUUGCUAGAGGAGCAGAACCUGAGCGUGGCCGAGGGCCCCAACUAUCUGACAGCCUGUGCGGGUCCCCCCUCCCGGCCUCAGCGGCCCUUCUGUGCCGUCUGCGGCUUCCCCUCCCCGUACACCUGCGUCAGCUGUGGCGCCCGGUACUGCACGGUGCGCUGUCUGGGCACCCACCAGGAGACCAGGCACAGCCGAAGCAAGUGUUCAGGACCAGCUGUCUCCUUGUACUGCUGCGGGAAAAGCCGAGAGUAAAGAGAGUGAGUUGUCGUCUCGGGCCGGCCAGGGGGCGUCUCUGCCAUUUCCAGUUUCCUCGAGAUCAUACAGAAUACAAACAGUCGGGGUCGCCUCUGCUCCCUUAACCAACCAGAGCCCAGCCCCAGAAGGUCCUGCCUCAGGAGUCCGAGGUGAGUUCUCAGGAGGCAGGUUCUCGGUCAGAGGAAGGAGGCGCGGUCAGAGCCGGGCGUGGCUCGGGGGCACGGGGCGGAGUCGGGGCGUGGCCUGCAGCCCGGGGUUGGCGGGACCUCCGGCCGCUGGGGGCAGAGGCAGGGGCACGGGGUCCACGGGCCUCCUACACGUAAGCGUUCUUCCCGUAUUUGCCAAAGCUGCUGUCGCCUUCUUCGUCCGAGACCGCGGGGUGCAGGGGGGCGGCGAGGCCGGGGGACCGCACCGCGGAGGCCUCGUAGGGGAGCCUGGGUCGGAGGGGCCUGGGUCAGCGGUGGGGCGACCCCGCUCCCGCCCCUCCCCCUCACCGCCACGCGCGCCGGUCCCUACCUGGGGGCCGGGGCCGCGUCGGGAGUGCGGCAGCAGGUGGAGCCGAGGCAGACGCCGCCCAGGAUGGCGAGCAGGGAAGCGCUCCAGCCCAGGUAGAGGGCGGGGCCCAGCUCGUACCUGGGGACAAGGACGGUGAGGGCCGAGUCCCACCCACUGCCUCCCAGGCCGGGGCUCCCACACUUACUUGGUCCCGGGAUACAAGGGGUCGAAGAAUUCCCGGGUGAUGUUGAAGGCGUACCAGGAGAUGGCCACCAUCCCGCAGAAACCUGGGGAGGGAGAGGAGGGCGGCGCUCGCGCCCCAGGCCCAGCGGAGGAAGGGAGCUGGGGGAGGGCCACACGGGGGCGGCCCCGAGAUCUGGACGCCCCAGAGCAAGUUGCACUCCCUCUCUUUCUUUUGCGCUCCCUAGCUCAUGACUUUCCCCUCGGGUCCCGACCGCAGCCCCCCUUUCUUGCCUAGUCUCCCACGCUCUGCCCUUCCUGCCCAGCAUCUUGAUCACAUCGUUGCCUCGUUUGGAAUCUGCCCCAUCCAAAUCCUACCCACCCUGGAAAGUCCGGCUGUCCGGGCAAUCCUCCCGCAGAGUCUGCCCCGACACCACUUUCCUUCGGCCUCCCCGACCCCCCCGGGAGCCUGUGACCUGCCUCUGUCACCCAGCGCAGUGAAGGCCUGAGGCCAGUGAGACCCCUGGGCUACAGGACCAGCCUUGCCGCUCUCUGGGGGCGCCUCCAGGCACACCCACCACCACCUUCCCCCAGUUACCAGCCAGUAUGUGCAGGGCCCCUGCGACGGCGGCCAGCCUGGCCUUCCUGGAGAGCUCCAUGCUCCCGAUGUUUAUGCAGCGCAGCCCCGCCAUGCCUAGGAAGAGGCCCAGGAAGCCCAGGAAGAUGGCGGUGAUCAUGAGCGCCCGGCAGGCCUGGAGGUACCCUGGGGAGGCGGGGCGCAGCCAUGGGUCCCUAAGCUGGCCCCUUCCCCCUCCGGGGCUGAGCCAGCCCCUUACAGCCAGCCCCUGCUCCGGUCUCAGUCCAUAAAGGCCCUCAAGUCCCCUCCUUCCCCUUCGGGGCCCUAUUCCGCUGGAGCCCUGACGCCCCUCCUUCCUAGGGGCUCAACUCAGGCCCCGCUCCCCCGACCCCGGUUCGGCGCACGUGCUUACUGGCUGUCUCCUUGGCACUACUGACACUUUGGCCAGCUACUGCUUUGGUCUGGGGGCCGUCCUGGGCCCUGUGGGAUGUUCAGCAGCAUCCUUGGCCUCUACCCACUAGAUGUCAGCGGGAGUCCGCUCCAAGAGGGACCAUCAAAAUGUCUAGACGCUGUCAAUGACCCCUGGGGGACAAAGUCGCCCCCAAUCGCAGCCGAGAACCACUGCUCCGUCGCGAAUGACAGAAAUUGCUCUUGAGUACUCAGCCCCUGCCCCACAUCUGCUUCUCUCUAGGUCCCACGUGGCACAGCCCCUAGACAUCAUGAAGUGAGCUUUCUCCUGCGGUGACCUGUAGGGGGCAGCAGUUGCCCGUGGGUUACUGGGUGGGGGCUGGUUCUGAUCUGGAAAGUGGGGUAUCUAGGCUAAGGACAAUCCAAGCACAUCUAGCUCAUAUACAUUGGAUGCCUCAGUUUCCCCUUUCUCAAAGCUGAAGGAAACGGCCAGUUUCCUUCCCGGCCCCUCUUCCCCCUUUUCUUUGAUACUUGCCAACCACCCCAAGGACCUUGUUCCCCUUUCCUGGGUGGGGCCAUGCCACUGGUGCUGAAGACGCUGGGUCCCUGCCAGGAGGAUGUGAAGUGGCCCGGAGUUGGCGGGUAGAGAGGAGGGACAAAGUUCUCUGGGAGCACUUUCUCCCAGCCACUCCCUCUGGGGUUCCCCCCUCCCCCGUAUCCUCUCUACCCAGGGCUGACCAGCCCUGGGUCCCUAGGCCGCUGUGGUAGACAAAGGAGAGAUUAUUGAUGGGCCACGAGGGAGCGUGGGCUGGGCGGCUGUGAGGGAUUAAAUAAUAGUCAGGACCCCCCUCGGGACCAGAGUAUCCGCCAGCCUGGGUUCCGGCACCCCUACCACCUGUGGGGCUGUGGGCCGGUUAACGCUUGUGCUUGUAGUUUUCCAGCUUGGGUGAAACGGGGUUGCCCGCGCCCCACGCAGCCAGGCCAGCGGAGACGGCACUGUGAUGGCCUGCGUGAAGAACCGUCACAACGUGGGGUGCCCUGACGACCCCGGGUGCCGGGCAGCUGCCCUCUGCCCUUCCCCCUGGAGCAGGCUCUUGCCCCUCCAUCAGCAGUUCCAAGUGGGGCCCUUCUCGGGCCGACAGGCUCACGGCAAACGCCCCACUUCAAACCGAGGUGUGGCUGAGGGAUGGGUGAGGCGGGAAGGGCCAGUGCUGCUAAGCCGGCUGCCUGCCAUGUCCCUUCUGGCCACCCGGCAUUCGGGGCUUCUGGUCCAGAUGGUACCCAGCUUUUAUCGGGAGCUUGGGGAGGGCACGUGCCCUGCACAUGGCAAAUCCUGGAGAGAGGGAUGAAGGCACGAAAUCCCUGCUGGAUCAGGAGAUUCUGGGAAUCGCAGGGGCACGAGAGACCCACGCAGACCCCUUAACUGCGCAGAGCAUCUCUGGCGUUCCCGCAGCCCUGUUCCAAACCCAGUGUUGGCUUUAGUUCCACCCACUUCCCGGCACCUACAGUGGCGAACCGGAAGAGCACGACGGCUCCAAGGGGGGUGCGGGAGUGGCACCAAAAAGAGGACCUGGUCCUCCCCUCCUGGUCUCCGGCACGGGCCUACCGAAAAGACUCCCCCGAGGGAUGCUGGGGACUACUCGGUGAACAGGAAGCAGGAAGACGCUAUACCACCAAGGAGAACCUUUCUGGAACAAAAGACCUGUACGUUCCGGCCCUCCGAGAACUUCAAACAAUCCACUGCCUGAGAACGCCGAACACACAUGCACACACACCCCUAGCUGCUUCCACCAGACACAGCGCCGCGGGAAGUCUCGCUUGAAGAGGGCCCUUGAGAAUUCGCCGUGGCAGUGGCACCGAUGCCUUUUAAGGGUCUCAACGCCAAGAACCCAAGAUGGGCCUCCUCUGCACCCCCACGACCCCCUGCACUCUCACCACAAAGCUGAGAUGCUGAAGUCGGUCGUGUGCGCACACGGGCCAACGAGAAUCACGCUAACGUCCCGGGCUGUAGCUCAACACUCACAACCAUGCCACGCGCCUGUGCACGUUCCCCCGGUUUUACAGUUGGGGUGAACGAAGCUCGUUUCAUCACCUGCUGGGAGCACCGAGCUGGUCAGCUGAGCCCGGCGGUCUGGCCCUGGUGCCUGCACUUGGAACCACUAGGGGUGUCACAUCAGGGCAGGGGGACACGUGGGACGAGGUCUCCAGCGCGGCUCCAGAUGGCGGCCGCCGGGCACUCCCAGCUCCCCGAGCUCGAUCCAGGCCUCCCUUAUCGGCUCGGUGCCCGAGGCCCGACCGUGGACAGCAGUCACCCUCCCCGGGGGUCUCUCCCCGCCUCCCGCCGCCCCCUGGAGCGGGCCACCCCGCUCUCUCCACCCCAUACCGGAGAGGGCCAGCAAGGACGGGAACUCCCGGCAGCUGUAGACUCCCAGGGAGUCGGUGGCACAGCUAAACCAGAGGUUCUCGAAGAUGGUGUUGGUGGUGAUGACGCUCCCGUGCACGGUGGACACUCGCCAGUAGCUGUGUGGCAGGGUCACCCCCAGCAUCAGCAGCCCCAGGGCCGCCAUGAAGAAGCCGAAGAUCUCCACGGCCACCGACAUGGUGAGAUGCAGGGCCCUGAGGGGCGCCUGGGGCCCCGGAGGAGGGGAGGGGCUGAGCCCCAAGGGAACUUGAGGGGCUUUGGCUAAGGAGGGGUGUUAAGGCAGGCUGGAGAGAAAGGUGGAGAGAGCAGGGGGGGCCAGCAGCAACCUGGGGUGCAGAUCUGCCCCCACCCCCCGGCUUCUGCCCCCUGCCCUCCCUCUGGGUUCCUGCUUCCCCGAAGGUCCGGGCAGAGGAAUGAGCCCAGAGCGCCGGGCAGCUGUUGACGCGGAGAUGGAGGGAAGCAACGGAACGGGCCAAAAGUCCACCCCCUCCCCCAGCCUCUGGGCUCCCCGCCCCACAAGGGGGGCGGAGAGGACUAAUGGGAGUGACCAACGAACGGAUGGGGCUGAGGGGGGCCCCCAUGGGAGGCACUGGGAGCAGAGGGGAAGCAGGGAAGUCGCUCUGACUCAGCUCUCAUCGGGGGGCCGGAGAAUGGAGCCAGGACAAGGAAAGAGAAGGUGACUGAGAGACCGGGGCCACAGACAGACCUUUCGCGGGGCAGGAUCCGGGGAGCGGAGCCCCCCUCCUGGAUGUUGGUGAGAACAAUUUAAGAAACUCCAAAGACUUGGGGUUCGGGCUACUGAGUCACCGAAGAAGAUUAAGGUUGAGUAAGGCAUCAGGGCGUCUGGGCGGAACCCGCGGCUCUGGAGUCCAGUCAACCUGGAUUCAAACCAGACCCACCAUCUACCAGAGCCACAAGGGCCUGGAGUCUGAGCCCCUCGGGCUUGUUCCUGCUUCUGUGAACUAGAACUGGCUCCCUCACCGCUGUGACCCCAGAUCAAAAGCUCCCUGCACGUGGGAACUGCUCCAUCCUCGGGGACCACUCUGGCUCCGGGUGCCGCGGGCACAGGGUGAGGCCACCAGUGGGUUGCUUCCCUCCAAACUUCAACUUCUUGAACUUGAAUUUCCCCCCUCGUCGGGUUGAUCUUUGACUCUCGGCAACAAGCUUGAUCUCGCUGCCAAGGGCCACCAAGGGGGAUAAAUCACAGGCCCAGAACGUGAUCCUGUGGCUAAUCUAAGCAGCUCAGUUAUCACAACUGUCA